GGGGAAUAUUGCGCAAUGGGGGAAACCCUGACGCAGCGACGCCGCGUGGAGGAUGAAGGCUUUCGGGUCGUAAACUCCUGUCAAGAGGGAAGAAACCUGUGAAGAGUAAUAUGCUUCGCAAUUGACGGUACCUCUAGAGGAAGCACCGGCUAAUUCCGUGCCAGCAGCCGGUAAUACGGAAGGUGCAAGCGUUAAUCGGAAUCACUGGGCGUAAAGCGCUCGUAGGUUGCUUUGUAAGUCAGGUGUGAAAUCCCACGGCUCAACCGUGGAAUUGCACUUGAUACUGCAUUGCUUGAGUUCGGGAGAGGGUAGUGGAAUUCCAGGUGUAGGAGUGAAAUCCGUAGAGAUCUGGAGGAACACCGGUGGCGAAGGCGACUACCUGGACCGAUACUGACACUGAGGAGCGAAAGCGUGGGGAGCAAAC
rnacentral:rRNA from 1 species